rnacentral:rRNA from 1 species
AGAGUUUGAUCCUGGCUCAGGAUGAACGCUAGCGGCAGGCCUAACACAUGCAAGUCGAGGGAGAAGCCCUUUCGGGGGCAGAAACCGGCGCACGGGUGCGUAACGCGUAUGCAACCUACCUUUCACAGGGGGAUAGCCCGAAGAAAUUUGGAUUAAUACCCCAUAAUAUUGUUGGAUGGCAUCAUUUGAUAAUUAAAGCUACGACGGUGAAAGAUGGGCAUGCGUCCUAUUAGCUAGUUGGAGUGGUAACGGCACCCCAAGGCUACGAUAGGUAGGGGUCCUGAGAGGGAGAUCCCCCACACUGGUACUGAGACAGGGACCAGACUCCUACGGGAGGCAGCAGUGAGGAAUAUUGGUCAAUGGUCGGAAGACUGAACCAGCCAUGCCGCGUGCAGGAAGAAUGCCUUAUGGGUUGUAAACUGCUUUUAUAUGGGAAGAAUAAGGCGUACGUGUACGUUGAUGACGGUACCAUAUGAAUAAGCAUCGGCUAACUCCGUGCCAGCAGCCGCGGUAAUACGGAGGAUGCGAGCGUUAUUCGGAAUCAUUGGGUUUAAAGGGUCUGUAGGCGGGCUAUUAAGUCAGGGGUGAAAGGUUUCAGCUUAACUGAGAAAUUGCCUUUGAUACUGGUAGUCUUGAAUAUCUGUGAAGUUCUUGGAAUGUGUAGUGUAGCGGUGAAAUGCUUAGAUAUUACACAGAACACCGAUUGCGAAGGCAGGGGACUAACAGACAAUUGACGCUGAGAGACGAAAGCGUGGGGAGCGAACAGGAUUAGAUACCCUGGUAGUCCACGCU